rnacentral:lncRNA from 1 species
CAGAGUUGACACGGAACAGCAGUCCCCUUGGACAGCCGAACAGAAUUCACGUGGGUCGCAUGGCCAGAAAUGACAUCUCCAAUGUUAAUGUCUUGCUAAAUAAUUUGCUGCAGCUAACUAACAUUGGUGGGCAUCAUUUUCUCAUGACGUACCGUUUGAUUGGCGAGGAGCACUACCGAAUCUUUAGUUAGGGGCCGAAUGUUCAUAGUUUUCACGAUUUUUAGGACCAGAAUUUUCAAGAUUUUAUUUUCAUUGUGUCCAUAAUUUUUCACUACUAGUUCAACUUACAAAAGUUGAGUUCCCAACUUACAAAAGCAAAAUUAAAAGUUGGUACAACUAAACUAUAGCAAAUGAUUCCGACAAGACCCGGCCCUUCCUAUUCACUUGCCCAGGUACUCGCCUCUAUAAGGAAAAUAAAUCUAAACGGUGAGCUUUCGUCCCAUGAGGUUCCAAGAAAGUCAUGCAACAAUAAUAUCAUAUUCAUGCGACAUAACCAUAGUUCACAACCAUAAUGCAAGUUCACAUUGGGUACUCGACAAUUAAGAAUUUACAUUGCCAUAUAAAAGGAUACGGGGCGUUCAAGAGCAUAUUCAACCAAUUUGAUCAGAAUUUCGCUGACACUCCAUCCACAUUUUUUCCAAAAUACUACUCCCUCCGUCCCGAAAUGAAUGUCGCACUUCGGGUCUUGAGUUUCUUUUCAACAGUAUCGCAUUUUGGUCUAAGUUCCAGCGCUACCCCUUUGGUGCAUUACUCCGUUGAGUGGCAGAAAGAAAAAGCAAGGAUGGCAAGAUGUGUGGGACGCAUACUUUACAAAUGUGUCCAGCCAUUUUUUUGAGAUAGUAGCUUGCACGACCACUGUUUGCAUUUGCGGUGAGAUUCACGCAUAUUAUAUUCCUGGCUAAAUACAGCAGAUUGUGAUCGAUACAAUCUUGAAAUAUGCUAUUAAUUUUUUUUUAAACUUGGAAUAGGUUUUAAAAAUUUCAUUCACAGGACUAACUUUCUCUUCUUUUUUACAUAUAGUUUUUUUUUUCUCGAAAGAUUCUAAUUCCUGUGUUGUCUUGAAUUGUCAUUGCCUAUUUGAAAUCCCUCUACAAACGAAAAAACUCUUCAUGUUCGACACGCAAAACUAACCCAUACUCCCUCUCUUCUCUUUUCUGCCGACCAAGCCCUUUGCCGCAUGAAAAAGACAAUCGCUCAUUCUCCCUAUUUUCUUCCUCCUCCGACUCUUUCAACGAAAACUUGAUGGGAGAUUGGAAUACUAUUUGGAUAAACAUUACCAUUCUGGAGACGAAUGGUCGGUUUCAUUCAUGACUUGAUGAAUUCCAACACUCCCCACUCGAACUUUAGUCUGGCCAUGUCUUUUUGGCGGAAUGUAUUUCCGGGCAGAAGAGAUGGGAGGCUUGCCGUGGAUGUUUAUCUUUAUGUUGAGAUUCAACCACAGCAAGUGGGAAUCAUGUACCUUACCGGUGAUGAAAAAGUUAGUGUUUUCGGAUCGAAAACGCAUUGGGAAGACGUCAAGUGGAGAGUAAUAUCAAUGGUGGCAUUUCCCCUGAGCUGUUUGUUACGAAUAUGUAGGACGCUACCUCCUCCGGAAUUAUUCAGAUAUGCAGUGAUUCGGGCAGAGUUGACACGGAACAGUAGUCCCCUUGGACAGCCGAACAGAAUUCACGUGGGUCGCAUGGCCAGAAAUGACAUCCCCAAUGUUAAUGUCUUGAUAACUAAUUUACUGCAACUAGCUAAUAUUGGUGGGCAUCACUUUCUCAUGACGUACCGUUUGAUUGGCGAGAAGCACUACCGAAUCUUUAGUCAGGGGCUGAAUGUUUAGAGUUUUCCCGAUUUUUAGGACCAGAAUUUUCAAGAUUUUAUUUCCAUUGUGUCCAUAAUUUUUCACUACUAGUUCAACUUACAAAAGUUGAGUUCCCAACUUACAAAAGCAAAACUAAAAGUUGGUACAGCUAAAUUACAGCAAAAGAUUCCGACAAGACCCGGCCCUUCCUAUUCACUUGCCCAGGUACUCGCCUCUAUAAGGAAAACAAAUCUAAACGGUGAGCUUUUGUCCCAUGAGGUUCCAAGAAAGUCAUUCAACAAUAAUAUCAUAUUCAUGCGACAUAACCAUAGUUCACAACCAUAAUGCAAGUUCACAUUGGGUAGGUACUCGACAAUUAAGAAUUUACAUUGCCAUAUAAAAAGAUACGGGGCAUUCAAGAGCAUAUUCAACCAAUUUGAUCAGACUUUCGCUGACACUCCAUUAACAUUUUUUCCAAAAUACUUUUCCCUCCGUCCCGAAAUGAAUGUCGCGCUUCGGGUCUUGAGUUUCUUUUCAACAGUGUCGAAUUUUGGUCUAAAUCCCAACGCUACCCCUUCCGUGCAUUACUCGAUUGAGUGGCAGAAAGAAAAAGCAAGGAUGAUAAGAUGUGUGGGAUGCAUACUUUACAAAUGUGUCCAGCCAUUUUUUUGAGAAAGUAGCUUGCAGGGCCAUUGUUUGCAUUUGCGGUGAGACUCACGCAUAUUAGAUCCCUGGCUAAAUACAGCAGAUUGUGAUCGAUACAAUCUUAAAAUAUGCUAUUAGUUUUUUUUAAACUUGGAAUAGGUUUCAAAAAUUCCAUUCACAGGAACAACUUUCUAUUCUUUUUUACAUAUAGUUUUUUUUUCUCGAAAGAUUCUAAUUCCUGUGUUGUCCUGAAUUGUCAUUACCUAUUUGAAAUCCCUUUACAAACGAAAAAACUCUUCAAGUUCGACACGCAAAACAAACCCAUACUCCCUCUCUUUUUUUUCUGCCGACCAAGUCCUUUGUCGCCUGAAAAAGACAAUCGCUCCAUCUCCCUAUUUUUUUCCUUCUCCGAUUCUUUCGACGAAAACUUGAUGGGAGACUGGAAUAGUAUUUGGAUAAACAUUACCAUUCUGGAGACGAAUGGUCGGUUUCAUUCGUGACUUCAUGAAUUCCAAUACUCCCCACUCGAACUUUAGUCUGGCCAUGUCUUUUUGGCGGAAUGUAUUUUCGGGCAGAAGAGAUGGGAGGCAUGCCGUGCAUAUUUAUCUUUAUGUUGAGAUUGAACCACAGCAAGUGGGAAUCAUGUACCUUACCGGUGACGAAGAAGUCGGUGUUCUCGGAUAGGAAACGCAUUGGGAAGACGUCAAGUGGAGAGUAAUAUCAAUGGUGGCAUUUCCUCUGAGCUGUUUGUUACGAAUAUGUAGGACGCUACCUCCUCCGGAAUUAUUCAGAUAUGUAGUGAUUCGGGCAGAGUUGACACGGAACAGCAGUCCCCUUGGACAGCCGAACAGAAUUCACGUGGGUCGCAUGGUCAGAAAUGACAUCCCCAAUGUUAAUGUCUUGAUAAAUAAUUUGUUGCAUCUAGCUAACAUUGGUGGGCAUCACUUUCUCAUGACGUACCGUUUGAUUGGCGAGGAGCACUACCGAAUCUUUAGUUAGGGGCCGAAUGUUCAUAGUUUUCACGAUUUUUAGGACCAGAAUUUUCAAGAUUUUAUUUUCAUUGUGUCCAUAAUUUUUCACUACUAGUUCAACUUACAAAAGUUGAGUUCCCAACUUACAAAAGCAAAAUUAAAAGUUGGUACAACUAAACUAUAGCAAAAGAUUCCGACAAGACCCGGCCCUUCCUAUUCACUUGCCCAGGUACUCGCCUCUAUAAGGAAAACAAAUCUAAACGGUGGGCUUUCGUCCCAUGAGGUUCCAAGAAAGUCAUGCAACAAUAAUAUCAUAUUCAUGCGACAUAACCAUAGUUCACAACCAUAAUGCAAGUUCACAUUGGGUACUCAACAAUUAAGAGUUUACAUUGCCAUAUAAAAGGAUACGGGGCGUUCAAGAGCAUAUUCAACCAAUUUGAUCAGAAUUCCGCUGACACUCCAUCAAUAUUUUUUCCAAAAUACUACUCCCUCCGUCCCGAAAUGAAUGUCGCACUUCGGGUCUUGAGUUUCUUUUCAACAGUAUCGCAUUUUGGUCUAAGUUCCAGCGCUACCCCUUCGGUGCAUUACUCCGUUGAGUGGCAGAAAGAAAAAGCAAGGAUGACAAGAUGUGUGGGACGCAUACUUUACAAAUGUGUCCAGCCAUUUUUUUGAGAAAGUAGCUUGCACGGCCAUUGUUUGCAUUUGCGGUGAGACUCACGCAUAUUAUAUCUCUGGCUAAAUACAGCAGAUUGUGAUCGAUACAAUCUUGAAAUAUGCUAUUAGUUUUUUUUUAACUUCGAAUAGGUUUUAAAAAUUUCAUUCACAGGACCAACUUUCUCUUCUUUUUUACAUAUAGUUUUUUUUUCUCGAAAGAUUCUAAUUCCUGUGUUGUCUUGAAUUGUCAUUGCCUAUUUGAAAUCUCUCUCCAAACGAAAAAACUCUUCAUGUUCGACACGCAAAACUAACCCAUACUCCCUCUCUUCUCUUUUCUGCCGACCAAGCCCUUUGUCGCCUGAAAAAGACAAUCGCUCAUUCUCCCUAUUUUCUUCCUCCUCCGACAAUUUCAACGAAAAUUUGAUGGGAGAUUGGAAUACUAUUUGGAUAAACAUUACCAAUCUGGAGACGAAUGGUCGGUUUCAUUCAUGACUUGAUGAAUUCCAACACUUCCCACUCGAACUUUAGUCUGGCCAUGUCUUUUUGGCGGAAUGUAUUUCCGGGCAGAAGAGAUGGGAGGCUUGCCGUGGAUGUUUAUCUUUAUGUUGAGAUUCAACCACAGCAAGUGGGAAUCAUGUACCUUACCGGUGACGAAAAAGUUGGUGUUUUCGGAUCGAAAACGCAUUGGGAAGACGUCAAGUGGAGAGUAAUAUCAAUGGUGACAUUUCCUCUGAGCUGUUUGUUACGAAUAUGUAGGACGCUACCUCCUCCGGAAUUAUUCAGAUAUGCAGUGAUUCGGGAAGAGUUGACACGGAACAGCAGUCCCCUUGGACAGCCGAACAGAAUUCAUGUGGGUCGCAUGGCCAGAAAUGACAUCCCCAAUGUUAAUGUCUUGAUAACUAAUUUACUGCAGCUAGCUAACAUUGGUGGGCAUCACUUUCUCAUGACGUACCGUUUGAUUGGCGAGAAGCACUACCGAAUCUUUAGUCAGGGGCUGAAUGUUUAGAGUUUUCCCGAUUUUUAGGACCACAAUUUUCAAGAUUUUAUUUCCAUUGUGUCCAUAAUUUUUCACUACUAGUUCAACUUACAAAAGUUGAGUUCCCAACUUACAAAAGCAAAACUAAAA